UAAAUAGUUCUGAUUGUUUUUGUGGAUCAGCUUAAAAAACAGCUGAAGCAAAUUCAAGCUGCAAUUUCAAUGCCAUU